rnacentral:rRNA from 1 species
UACAGAGGUCUCGAGCGUUAGGCGGAAUCACUGGGCUUAAAGCGUGUGUAGGCGGAUCGUUAAGUACCUUGUGAAAUCCCACGGCUUAACCGUGGAACUGCUUGGUAUACUGGCGGUCUUGAGCCAGCUAGGGGCUACCGGAACAAAUGGUGGAGCGGUGAAAUGCGUAGAUAUCAUUUGGAACGCCAAUGGGUGAAAAACAGGGUAGCUGGGGCUGUGCUGACGGCUGAGAC